CCUUGGGCCUACCCAACUACCAACUUCCUUUCAAUCUGUUUGUCUCUGAAAAAUCAGGACAUGCUUCCGGAGUCCUCACCCAGAAACAUGGAUCAAGACAACGACCUAUUGGCUCCUGCAUGCUUGACCCUGUUGCGAGAGGUAUUCCCUUUUGCCUCAGAGCGGUGUUUGCCGCCAGCGCCCUCCUGGACAAGACCAAUGAUUUUGUUCUUGGCCACCACCUCACAGUGUUGGCCCCUCAUGACAUUACUGCAAUCCUGCAACAAACUCAACCUAAGCACCUUUCUUCUCAACGUUACCUUCGUCUACAAACAUCCUUACUGUAACCUGACAAUGUGGAACUUCAGCGAUGUCUCUCCCUGAACCCGCCACUCUUCUGCCACUUCCCAAGGGGGGAAUUGUGCAUUACUGGUAUAGCCUGGACAUCAACCCAGAGGUUUGAGCAGAUUUGCAGCUGCCUGCACUUGCACCCCCACAUAAUGAACAAUCAGAGGCCCUACUUCACUGCACCUUAUGGUUUAAAGACAGACCAGGCCCUGAUAUGAACUAUGAGGAAGAAUUAUUCCAGCUCAAGGAAAUUCCAAUUACCCUGACUGACUUGUUAUGGGACCCCACAGGUACCAUGCUCAUCUUAGCCCAUCUUCCAGAGAACAUGACACAUCUCUACCAUCAUUGGGAAACAGCUAUCCCACACAUAUCUCUCACCAGAUCCUCUGACACCUCAUGGAAAGACCUAGGCCCGAUGGCCAAGACCUGGUGUCAAAUGAACCAAGAACAACUGACUUCUAUGGGGACCAGCAAAAAGACUAUUA